rnacentral:lncRNA from 1 species
UGUUUUAUUCUUAUCCGCUUUGUUACGCGCAAAUCCUGCAAUCAAUGCUAGAAAGUUAACCAGUUUGGUUUUUUACUCUUCGAUUCCAGAUGAACCCUUUACACGUUAUUCUAACGGGUUCUCAGUUUUGCGUUAACUUAACAACUACCAGAAAAUGUUUUCUUCUUGUUCUUUAUUUUGGCAAACGAAGUCACACCCGAAAACAUAAUUUUUAAAUCCUUUGAUUAAAAGAAGACGCAACAGCUGUGAUGGUGUAGUAUUUGUUUCAUUCGAUUUUUGCGCAAGUUAAUUUUUCCGGUUUCUUCUUAACCAGGGCAACCAGUCGCCGUGUAGACACAAAUGUGUGUCAUCCAUCACGGUGGCCACCAGAAGCAGUAGAAGGACUAUGUCGCUGAUGAACAAAGACCAAUUUCAGAAACUAAAUGCCCUACUUGAAUGUUGAGUUCUACCGUUACCAACGAAAAUUAUGUAACUAGGUACUUUUCAGAUAACUAAAUAACAACAACGGAUUGAAAACCCAUUGAAUGAAGAAAAACCGGGGCAUUUCGAGUGCGAAUCAUAAAUCAACAAGGAAACCAAGAGGUUUGACAUCCAAAUGGAUUAAUGCAACCCCAAGAAUGUCAUCCCCUGGAACAGGAUUGCUCAGUUUCACCUAAAAAAUGGUUGAAGUUUGGAGCCUUUCUAUGGGACUGGAUUACGGAAAUGAUUUGGAUGCAUAAUUUCGAGUGAGGAAAAAAACAGUUUUGCAUAUCCCGGACGAAUGCAAAAUAGAUAAUGCCAAAAUUAUCGAGUCCAGACUGAAAAAGUUUCGUAAAUCAGUUGCCAACGCAACAUCUCUGAUCGUGCACGUGUUUUUCGAAAAAAUUUACUCUCGUCUCAUCGAUCUGCGAUGCAAACCGACAAUGACGUGAAUUUCGAGACAAAUCGAUCAAAUCUACAAUGGAGACUUUAACGAACGAUGAUCUCGGAAAUGCCAAUGUUGCCCGUCACAUUUCCCGUCUGGAAUGGUGAAAAAAAAAAAAAAAAUCAAUACUUACCUGAGCAUGUUGGAAAACA